CCAGGCUUGACAUCGAGGGAAAGCUCCUGAAAGGGAGUCCUCCCCGCAAGGGGACCCGAAGACAGGUGUUGCAUGGCUGUCGUCAGCUCGUGUCGUGAGAUGUUGGGUUAAGUCCCGCAACGAGCGCAACCCUCACCGUAUGUUGCCAGCGUCAAGUCGGGCACUCUUACGGAACUGCCCGUGCAAGCGGGAGGAAGGUGGGGAUGACGUCAAGUCGGCAUGGCCCUUACGUCUGGGGCUUCACACAUGCUACAAUGGGCGCUACAGAGGGCAGCAAUCCCGCGAGGGGGAGCGAAUCUCACAAAAGCGUCCCCAGUUCGGAUCGCAGGCUGCAACUCGCCUGCGUGAAGCCGGAAUCGCUAGUAACCGCAGGUCAGCUAAACUGCGGUGAAUACGUUCCC
rnacentral:rRNA from 1 species